rnacentral:rRNA from 1 species
GACGAACGCUGGCGGCGUGCUUAACACAUGCAAGUCGAACGGAAAGGCCCUGCUUUUGUGGGGUGCUCGAGUGGCGAACGGGUGAGUAACACGUGAGUAACCUGCCCUUGACUUUGGGAUAACUUCAGGGAACUGGGGCUAAUACCGGAUAGGAGCUCCUGCUGCAUGGUGGGGGUUGGAAAGUUUCGGCGGUUGGGGAUGGACUCGCGGCUUAUCAGCUUGUUGGUGGGGUAGUGGCUUACCAAGGCUUUGACGGGUAGCCGGCCUAAGAGGGUGACCGGCCACAUUGGGACUGAGAUACGGCCCAGACUCCUACGGGAGGCAGCAGUGGGGAAUAUUGCACAAUGGGCGGAAGCCUGAUGCAGCAACGCCGCGUGCGGGAUGACGGCCUUCGGGUUGUAAACCGCUUUCGCCUGUGACGAAGCGUGAGUGACGGUAAUGGGUAAAGAAGCACCGGCUAACUACGUG